GCAGUCUGGUGCCAGCAGCCGCGGUAAUUCCAGCUCCAAUAGCGUAUAUUAAAGUUGUUGCCGUUAAAAAGCUCGUAGUUGAACCUUGGCCCUGGCUGAUCUGUCCUCCUAAUCGAGCGCACGGAUUCGGUCGGGGCUUUCCUUCUGGGGAGCCCCAUGCCCUUCACUGGGUGUGGCGGGGAACCAGGACUUUUACCUUGAAAAAAUUAGAGUGUUCAAAGCAGGCCUUUGCUCGAAUACAUUAGCAUGGAAUAAUAGAAUAGGACAUCGGUUCUAUUUUGUUGGUUUCUAGGACCGCUGCUAAUGAUUAAUAGGCUGACAGUCGGGGAGCAAGUCAGGUAUUCAUAUUGUCAGAGGUGAAAAUUGGGCGUAAUGGAUUUAUUGGAAUUUGACUUAACUACUGUCGAAAGCAUUCGCCAAGGAUGUUUUCAUUAAUCAGUGAACGAAAGUUAGGGGAUCGAAGACGAUCAGAUACCGUCGUAGUCUUAACCAUAAACUAUGCCGACUAGGGAUCGGACGGUGGUUUUUUUAUGCCCCGUUCGGCACCUUACGAGAAAUCAAAGUUUUUGGGCUCGGGGGGGAGUAUGGUCGCAAGGCUGAAACUUAAAGAAAUUGACGGAAGGGCACCACCAGGCGUGGAGCCUGCGGCUUAAUUUUGACUCAACACGGGGGAAACUCACCAGGUCCAGACAUGCUUAGGAUUGACAGAUGGAUAGCUCUUUCUUGAUUGUAUGGGGGGUGGUGCAUGGCCGUUCUUAGUGGGUGGAGUGAUUUGUCUGCUUAAUUGCGAUAACGAACGAGACCUUGACCUGCUAAAUAGCCAGGUUCACUUUUGUGGGCCGCCGGCUUCUUAGAGGGACUUUUGGCUCAAGCCAAUGGAAGUACGAGGCAAUAACAGGUCUGUGAUGCCCUUAGAUGUUGCUGGGCCGCACGCGCGCUACACUGACAGAGCCAGCGAGUACAUCACCUUGGCCGAAAGGUCUGGGUAAUCUUGUUAAACUCUGUCGUGCUGGGGAUAGAGCAUUGCAAUUAUUGCUCUUCAACGAGGAAUGCCUAGUAAGCGCAAGUCAUCAGCUUGCGUUGAUUACGUCCCUGCCCCUUGUACACACCGCCCGUCGCUACUACCGAUUGAACGGCUCAGUGAGGCCUUGGGGCUGGCUCAGAGAGGUCGGCAACGACCACUCAGAGCCGGAAACUUGGUCAAACUUGGUCAUUUAGAGGAAGUAAAAGUCGUAACAAGGUUUCCGUAGGUAACCUGCG
rnacentral:rRNA from 1 species